CCCAACACAAUUCGUAUCUGUGUGAAAUGAAACUGUCCACAGUUAAGCUGUUUUAUCUCCUGUGCAGAUAAACUGCUCUUUAGUGACCACACCACAGACCACCAAACAAAGAAACUUAAUAAUUUAUUUGUUGCUGUCAAAAGACAACACAAAAUAACAAACAAACAAACAAAAACGUGUAUCAGCAACAGUAAGCAACAGUGAGACUGUACUGAAGUGCAACAUCAGCUAUAAAAAGGUGACUCAUUGUUUCAGAAGUGAUUGAGUAGUACUAUUGAGUUGAUACCAAAUUCCUUAAUUAAGCAUGAAGACACCAACUGCAUCAAAUAUGUCUGUUGCUGACCAUAAAGCUUUUGACAGUUUUCAUGUUUUCUUGCUUUAUGGUCAGCAACCAAAACAUUUUUCCUUAUUUUUGAGUAUUGUUCUCUUUCUGAAUGAUUACCUCUCUGCAUUAGCGCUUUAGGCUCUGAGUGAAGUCACACCCGCUGUUCCUGGCCUCCCUUCUGUCUCCGCCCUCCAUUCCGACUCUUCCUCUGAGCUCCAGCAGCCUCCUUUCACUCUUGCUUACACUCAGCCUGAAUUGCAGCUCUGUAUAGGAACCAGCUAAACAUGUUGGUAAAUGGAAACAAGUUUAAAUGAUGGACAGUGCUCAGGAACAGAGACGCUUCUUGGUCAGUCUCAUCUUUCUGAAUGACAGCAAGACUGAGGGUGAGCUGGAAAUCUCCAAACAGAGGGACCAUCAUGAUCUUGCUCUGCAGGUCUGCAGAGACCCAGCGGACGUCUCUCUCAGUGUGGAGGACGGUGAUGGUGUGUGUGUCUUUAAAUUCUUGAUCUCGAGGGAGACAGAGUGCUGUCGAGUGGGAUCUCAGUCCUUCCUCAUCACCACGAGCUGCAUGAGUGUCCUGCUGCGCUUCAGCACACGGCCAGAGUUCCAGACUUUCCACAGUUUGCUAAAGUCACAUUUGGACUCCAGCAGAGGGAUGUCAGCAUUCAAUCAGAGAACAGACAACUCCUCUGCCUUGCAAUACUUUCAGUUUUAUGGCUGUCUUUCUCAGCAGCAGAACAUGCUUCAAGAUUACCUGAGGACAGCGACGUACCAAAAAGCCAUUUUACUGAACGACGUUGACUUCAGAGAUAAGGUAGUGCUUGAUGUAGGCUGUGGGACUGGAAUACUCUCUUUUUUUGCUGUCCAGGCUGGGGCAAAGAAAGUGUAUGCAGUGGAGGCCAGUUCAGUGGCCAAAUACGCCGAAGUACUAGUGAGAAGUAAUGGCAUGUCUGACAAAAUUGUCGUGCUUGCUGGGAAGAUUGAGGAGGUGUCCUGCCCAGAGAAAGUGGACGUCAUCAUCUCUGAACCAAUCGGCUACAUGCUACUCAAUGAACGGAUGCUGGAAAGCUAUUUGCAUUCCAAAAACUGGCUGAAGCCGAAAGGUAUGAUGUUCCCUACCUUCAGUGACAUCCACCUGGCUCCCUUUACUGAUGAGCAGCUCUACUUGGAACACCAUGCACGUUCCAGCUUCUGGCUCCAGACGUGUUUCUAUGGGGUAAACCUGAGCGGACUCCAUCCUGCAGCUGUGGAUGAGUUCUUCAGACAGCCAGUAGUGGACACUUUUGAAAUGCAGAUUUUGAUGGCGAGAUCUGUGAAAUACAGCAUUAACUUCCUUGAAGCUAAAGAAGAGGACUUGCACAGGAUGGAAAUUCCUUUUGUCUUCAAACUGCUGCAGUCAGGACUGAUUCAUGGCCUGGCGUUCUGGUUUGAUGUGGCAUUUGUAGGUUCAAGGAUGACCGUAUGGCUGUCCACUGCGCCCCAUGAGCCCCUGUCUCACUGGUACCAGGUGCGCUGUCUCCUCCAGACUCCACUGUUUGCCAAAAUGGGGCAGACGCUGUCUGGACAGGUUCUACUGAUUGCCAACAGAAGGCAGAGUUAUGACAUCCACAUCACAGCUGUUGUUGAUGAGUCUGGCUUUAAAUCUGGCAACACACUUGAUCUCAAAAAUCCUUUCUUUCGGGUGCCAGGGUGGUUGCAGAUCUAAAGAAGCGACAGUGAGGCAUGGCAGAGUAGUCAGUGCCAUUGUGGCUGGGAAGGUGACAUCCUUGGACUAGGAUGGGUAUGCCUGAGUCACUGCAGUCUCUCGAACAAACAGACGUUUGUGAGCCUUCCCUUUCAGCCCCUGGACCAGCACUAAGAAAUCUGCUCAAAACUGCCUCAAAUAAUCUGAAAUAAUGCAGUUUUUUUAAAGGGAGUGUUUUUAUUGCUUAGCUUCUCUGUCUCUAAUGAUGCUUUACAGUCUAUAAAUUGCAAAAAGCACUGCUUUAUGUAAAUUAAAAGCAAAUAAAGCAUAUUGAUUAUCAGUGCAA